GCAAGUCUAGGGGAAAGAACUUUCGGGUACGAGUACACUGGCGCACGGGUGAGUAACGCGUGAGAAAUCUGCCCUUUGGAUUGGGAUAACACCUCGAAAGAGGUGCUAAUACUGAAUAACAAUGCAUUCGCAUGUUUGCAUUUAAAAGACGGUUUCGGCUGUCACCAUUGGAUGAUCUCGCGUUCCAUUAGCUUGUUGGUAGGGUAACGGCCUACCAAGGCGACGAUGGAUAGGUGGCCUGAGAGGGUGGCC
rnacentral:rRNA from 1 species